UUAUUCUAGUGAUGACUUCAUAGUUCAUCUGAACAUGUUGAUGCAUACCAAGCUUAUGUCUUUCGCUCCUAUCUGAUAUUGAAC